rnacentral:rRNA from 1 species
GAUGAAUGCUGGCGGCAUGCCUUACACAUGCAAGUCGAACGGUAACAGGUCUUCGGAUGCUGACGAGUGGCGAACGGGUGAGUAAUACAUCGGAACGUGCCUAGUAGUGGGGGAUAACUACUCGAAAGAGUGGCUAAUACCGCAUGAGAUCUACGGAUGCAAGCAGGGGAUCGAAAGACCUUGUGCUACAAGAGCGGCCGAUGGCAGAUUAGGUAGUUGGUGGGAGAAAAGCUUACCAAGCCGACGAUCUGUAGCUGGUCUGAGAGGACGACCGGCAACACUGGGACUGAGACACGGCCCAGACUCCUACGGGAGGCAGCAGUGGGGAAUUUUGGACAAUGGGCGAAAGCCUGAUCCAGCAAUGCCGCGUGCAGGAUGAAGGCCUUCGGGUUGUAAACUGCUUUUGUACGGAACGAAAAGCCCCGGGUUAAUACCCUGGGGUCAUGACGGUACCGUAAGAAUAAGCACCGGCUAACUACGUGCCAGCCGCCGCCGUAA